AACUCAAAAUCAAUCUCAUCCCAAGUGGACCCAUUUGAUUUCAACUGCAUAUUCAAUUUCAAAAUCCACAAUGUUAGGACUAGAAUCACAUAAUUGAAAUAAUUAGCAGAAACAGUACCAAAAGAAAUGAAAAACAUACAUAAUAGGCGGUGACAGUGCCAGCAGAGUUGCCAGGGACAAGCUUGAGCUGCAUAUCAAUCUUUGCAAAGAGAUACUCAUUCCUGGACUGAAAUCCAGAGCCAGAAGCUUGAUCAAGGGAGAGAGUGAGAAGUUGUCCAUUGUUGAGAAUCUUAGCUCGGCCGUCUCCCCAUGUAAUAUCAAAAUCAUUAUAGAAGUUGCUGGCGGAAGAAACCAUCAAAGAGGAGACAAGAACAGACAUAAACAGAGAAAGCACCAUGUUUGAAGAGGCUAUAUUUUGCUGUAAGAAAUCGUUUUAGCUUUGAAAGAGGAGAGAUGUGUUUGUAGAGAAGAAUGGGUUGGGUAGCAUUUAUAGUGGGCAAAUGACGAGUGAAAUGAAGAGAAAGUGCUGAGGAAAGGUCAUAGGAAGGUCGAGUGAGCUUAGCUGUGCACAGGAGUGUGUUUGGUGAUGCUUAUAAUAUUUAUUCUAUGAUAGCUGGAAAAUCGCACUACCAAACAUGUUCAAUAGUGAUCAAUACGCGUAUCAGGUUUUUGGUCGGAUACUUGGAUUUCAUACUGCCUUCCUCGGAACCGACAAAAUGAUGAUGCAAGAAUCAAAAGAAAAUUAUAACUAUUCUCUCUCUAAUUUUUAGAGAGAGAAAAAAAAUCUCUGUUUGGCCCUAGAAUUAACUAAAGUGUAAUUAUAAUCCAUGAAUUUUUUUAAAUAUCACUAGAAAUAUUAUUAAUAGUAAUUUUAAUUGAACUUUGUUAAAUGUUGCUCCCUUCAUCGCUUAACAAGUGUCCUAUUUGUUAAUUUCACUAGGUUUAAAGUAAUAUUUGAAUACGUUAAUAGGUUAAUAUUUAUUAUAAAUGAAUUUUUAUUAUGUAAAAUAUCAUAUAUAAUAUUAUAGUAUUUUGCUAAAUAUUUACGCUAUUAUAAAUUAUGUAAAUACUAUUUGUAUAUAAAAAAAAUCAACAUUCUAUCAAUAAUAUUAAAUAAAAUGAAAUAUAAAAUUUUGUAGAUUAAUUUUGAAUUAAAUUAUAAUAAAUUGAUAUACUAAAUUAUUAAUAAAAUUAAGAAAUUUAUAAUAAUAAUAUAAUUUUUUUAAUAUUAUGAAUUUCAAUUUUAGAAAAAAAUGAUAAAAAAAAUUCUAACUUUUAAAAAUAUUUAUAAUUACACCUUAAACUUUAAAAAUUUAUUAAUUAAUCCCUAAUAUUUUAAGUUAUAAUUAAUUGUAUUCUAAAUUUUAUUGAACUAAAAAUAUAAGAUGACAAUAAUAUGUUAGAUAAUAUUACAAUUCUGUUAGUCUUUAACAGAAAUGUUAACACGGAUCUAAUUGGAACAAAUAUAAAAAAUAUAGAAUUUAAUUAGCGAACCAUAAAAAAGUAACUUGGGAUUGCAAAAAUGGAAAAAAGUUAUUUUUUUAUUAUUAACUCUAUUAUAAAUUAUUUUUUUUAAAAAAAAUUUUUUAUCAUUAACUCUAUUAUAAAUUAUUUUUUAGUAUUAUAAAUUUUAAUUUUAUAAGAAAUGAUAAAAAAAAUUCUAAUCUUUAAAAGAAUUUAUAACUACACUCUAAAUUUUAAAAAUUUAUCAAUUAAACCCUGACUUUUUAAGUUAUAAACAAUUGUGCUAUGAACUUGUUGAUAUUAUAAAAUAUGUUGAAUAAUAUGACAACCGCGUUAAUCUAUAAUAGAAAAUUUAACAUAGAGUGAAACUAAAAUAAAAAGUGAAAUUUAAUUAGCGAAUCAUAAAAAAAUAUGUGGAAUCAUAAGAAUGAAAAAAAUAUUUUUUAUUAAUUUAUUAAUAAUUACCAUAAGCUUUUUAUAUUUUAUUUUAUAAUAUACGAUAUUUAAUAAUUAUAAAAUUAAUUUAUUUAAUAUUUAUAGUCAUAUUUUAUUAUAAUUUUUUGUUUACAGUAAAAAAUAUUUAUAAUAUUAUACAAGUAAAAUUAAUUUAUAAUGUUAUUAGUUUAAAUUUAGGAGAAUUAGAUCACUUAUUAUAAUAAAAAUAAUUUACUGAAUUUAAUAAAUUUUAACAUUUAAAAAUUUUAAUCAUAAAUAGAUAAUAUGUAAUCUAUAUUUAUCUAAUUAUUUAGAAGUAUAUAAUUAAUAGAUAAUAUUUCAUAAUUUAAAUUAAUUUAAAGUUAAUAAUAACAUUUGACAUUUGUAUAUAUAUUUAAAUUUAUAAAUGGAUUAUAGUUUUAUAAUUGAAUUUAAAUUUUAAAGUAAAUAAUGAUUUUAUUAUUUAAAUUAAUUUACUAUUAAUAAAGUUUGAAAUUUGAGUUAUAUAUAAAUAAUAAAAAGCCAAAUUUGUGGCAUUAGAUUAUUAAAAUAAUAUAUAUUGAUGAUCUGAGAUCCAGAAAAUAGGGUUUACAAAACGUUCUGUAAGCUUGGCUGAAAAAAGGGCCCUCAAGAAGAGAAUGUUUCUUCCUUUUAUCUGUUUCCAUUGUCUGUCAGUGACGUGUAACGGCCCGACUUCUAUUGGGCCACCUGUCUCUGCCAUAUUGAUAUAAUCGUACGAGGAUAUCAGAUUCCUGCCCCAUGUGUAACGGCCUCUGAUUCCCCCCGGGCGCGCAUGUGGAUGGACCCACAAGGCAGAUGGAUAGGUCCCCUUCCUGAUUCUGAGCUGGACCCAAGGAUUGGAUUAAAGUUGAGCCCAGGUAGGAUCUGUUUGAUGGGCCGUGUGGACUGGGUCGGCCUGGUUGAGGAAGAUAGUUGGAGCUCGGCCUUAAAGCUGAGCGGACCAGACCUGGUUCAUGUGGGAGACUCGAAGGCCUCCAGAUAAUGGGCUAUUGUCAUGGGCCCGGCCCCAAACCGGGGUGACGAAAUCCAGCGGUCAUCAAUUGCCCAUUUACCUCCUCGUCAGUUAUUGCCCGAUUGAAGAGGGGGUAAAUACCGAGAGUCAUCAUGACCGCGCCGCCCAAGGACAAAACUGUUCAAAACAUCUUUUCGGCUCUUUAUUGUUUCAAAUUUCACUUCCCGUCAGUCUUCCCAGAACGUUGGCUCUUCUCUGUUCUACUGCUCUCUUUGCUUUCCUCUGCUCAUUUGCCUUAAUCGUUUUUCAGGUACGCCUCUUCUUUUACCAUGGAUAGUUCUAGUCUCCCCGAUGUCGUCAACCAGGAGUCUAGCAUCACCCCAUCUAACAUUAGGAGUUUCAUCUCUAAGGAAUACCUGGAUACCCCUCUUUAUCACAUCCAGGCUCCUUACCAGAAUGAGAGGAUCGUUCUUCCUGAUUCUUCUCCUCCUGGCCUAAUCGACCCUCAAAGGGACGUCAGUCUAGUCUUCUUCAUCAAACAGAGAGAGUACGGUCUGUCAUUCCCCUUUUCUCCUUUCUUCAAAGAGGUCUUCCAGUAUUUCGAGAUCACCCCUCGAAUGCUAACCCCUAACUCCAUUCUUUUCAUGUCUUGCUUUGAAUCUGUGUGUCUGAGCUGGGGGUUUACACCCACGAUUCACCUGUUCGUCAGCUUUUUCAGGCUAGUCAAAGCGAGCCAAAAAUUUUAUUACUUUGCCCCCCGCGGAGGGUUGUUUAUUUUCACGGUUUAUAAAGACUCCAUCAAGGGCUGGGUAGAGGGGUUUCUGGUGGUGGAGUUGAAGAAGAAUACGGGAUUGGCUUGGGAGCUUGAUCUCGCCUGGCAGGAUGUCUCUCUGGGUUGCAACGACCUGCCCCAGUUGGGCCUUACCGAGCAGGUCGGAUUCAUUCGACUGACUUCUGUGGAUAAGAAGUAUGACGUCGAAAAGUGCUUGUACGCGUCCGACCUUAGGGAUAUUAAGGACGCGGGUAUCUUAUUCUAUCUGCAUGUGUUAGUUUUUGCUUACGCGAUCUUUGCUGAGAACUGUUCUGAUUUGCUUUGAUUUUUAAUUUUGUAGCUUCCGAGGUGAAGAUGGAUCAGAUCAAGCCUCCCAAGAAUCUCAUAUUGUCCCGGGAGAGCAUGGACGCUGCUCUGGAUGCCCUCCUAGCUGGGCAGUUCGUGAGGGAGGCUACUCAAAGGGUGGCUGAGGUUAUUUCUUCCAGAUCGGUUAUCCGACCUCCUCCUCCUCCGACCUCCUCGCAAGCUCCUAGGCCAAGCUCCCGACAUAGUAAGUCGUCUUGGCCUUCUAGCCGCAGCAGAUCGAGCUCGGCUCACCAGUCUUCCCAAGCCCCUCGGCCUCGACGUGCUUCUACUGAGAGGACAGAAGAGACUCCAAGGAUUAUUUUCUGAAGUGGCUGAGGACGCCGAGAUGGCGAGGACGGAUCCUGUACUUCCUCAUGUGGAUGAUUCUAAUGUGGGGCUUGAAGUCCCCGCUGUUGCUGAGGGGGAGGUCCCCAAGGUGGGGCUCGAGGCCCCAUUACUGAAGAGGGAGCUUCAGGGAAAAGAAAGGAGGUUAUUCUUGUAGACGAAGAUGUCCAGGAGGCCCCUACUGGAGAUGCCCCUGCUCCUGAAGAGGUUGGAUCCGGCCCUGCUAAUAAAGGAGGUGCCACGGAGAAGGCCGGGGACAAACGUCCUGCCCCUCCCGAAAUGUCCGCCCCAGUUCCUGCUCGGAAGAAAUCCAGGGCUUCCAAGGGAUCAGCUCCAGCUCUCCCUCCUAUUGGAAAGAAAAAGGAAGCUUCCAAGGGAUUAGCUCCAGCUCUCCCCCCCUCUUGAAAAGAAGAAGGAUGUUCCUGUGAUACCCCUGUUGUCUGCUCCUGACAAUGACAUUUUGAACGCGGAGGACAUCACUCAUCAAACUCCGGUGAGCGUUGUAGCGGAGAUCUUACGGGAGCGGAUAUUCAGGGGAAUCACGGAGGCUUCGGACUCUCGUCUGCUUGCUUUGAUCGGCCACCUGGCUGGCUUCACACGAGAGAAGGCAGCCUUCUGGUCCCUACCUUGAGGGGAGCUCGGAGAUAGGAUCAGGGAGAUGCUCCUGAUGGUAAGUCGUUCGUCCCGGUUUUUGCUUGUCUUCUAAUUUUCUUUGUUUCUUUGUUGUGACAGCUUUCUCUUUUUGCGCUAGGUGAUGGGCCUCUUCAUGGAGGUGGACCCUUGUGACCACUCUCUUUGGGAGUCGGUGGAUCGCCGGGUUGAGGAGGCACAUCUGGAGGAAAACUUGUAUGCCACCAGUGAUGCAUGGAGUAAUCUAGCCGCGGCCCAUGAGCAUGCCAAGUCCCUAGAGGUGGAGUUGUCUCACGCUCGGAGGGUUCUUAAAGAAUCUGACGAGAGGGCAGCUGCUGCUGAGGUCCGCUGUGAAGAAGUCCUGAAGCAGCUGUCCUCCACGGUAGAUGCCCUUCGUGAAAGGGACGAGGCUAUAAUCCAGAGGAACGAGGCUCAGCGUCAGUAUGAGGUCUUGAAGGCUGAUUUUGAAGGAGCCUAGGCUCGUCUUAACAAGGUGGAGGUCCAAAAGGAGGGGGCACUAGCUCGGGUUGAAGUUCUCAAGCAGGAGCUGAGUAAGAGUUCUGAUUGCAUUAGAGAUCUGGCCUCAGCAGCAGAGGAGUCUAAAAUUCAUAAUCAAAAGCUCUGCCAUGAGGUCAAGAUUUUGGAGCAUAGAUGCUCAGCCCUGCUUGAGGAUGUCAGACUCACUGAAGACAGGGUCCAGCUGGAGUGUGAGAGGUGUCUGAUGGAGUAUAAAGAGUCUCCCGAGCUGAAAAAAGAGAUCGAGCAGGCCUGUGAAGCUCGCCUCCAGGAUUACAAGAGUUCUUCUGAAUUCAAAGCCAAGAUAGCUGAGGCCUGUGAGAAGCGACUUGCGGAGUUCCAAGGCUCUGAUGAAAUGAAAACUGCCAUAUGGAAUAAGGGCUUCCGCAUGUUCGUGUCUGGGUAUAAUAGAGGUCUGAGGACAGCUAGAUACAAUCCCUCCACUCCUUUGGCCAAACUCUGAGGUGCUGAAGAGGACUCUGAUGGAGAGGAGGUACUUUAUGGGGAAGAUGACAGACCUCUACCCAAAAGAGCUUCUCGCACUACAGCUGGGCCUUUUGAGGCAGAACCCGAGCUGGGGAACAACGAUGCUGGGCCUCAAGGGCAGGAGAUCAUGCCUUUUAUGGGCACCGGGGGGUCUGAGCAGGAGGAUGCUGGGCCUCCCACGGACAGCAAUGCCAACAAUGUAAAUAUAGAUAGUACAUGGGAUAAUGUAGAUGAUAAUGCCCCUAGACAUGUAAGUCCUUUAAGGACUGUUUUUCCUUCAGUAGAGUAGACUGUAAAGUAGGUUGUAAUUACUUUUCUUUUUAAUGAAAUUUAAUUUUCGAGUUGUGUUGGUAUUUUGAAUUAUUUUGAUUGUUAUUUAUUUCUCUGGCUUUAUUUAUACUUGAGCUAUUCUUACCUCUGCUUGUUCUUCCCUCCUCCUCGGGCUACUUAUUCUGUGCAAACAAUCUAACUUGUUUAAUUUUAAAGAUUUGAGAACAAAACACUUAGGCGGUGCCUAAUAAAUCUUGUAAGGAAUUGGCUACAUCGCCUUUCAUUUCUUGCCUCUCAGUUAAUCAGGGCUGAAAACUUAGCAAGAGACUUAGUCUCUGACUUAUAAUCUUUUCUAAUUUCACAAGGGCGUUCUUAUCUGUAAAUUUUCUCCGAGCUGGAUUUGCCUUAAGGCUAAGAUCUUCAAGCUGUACUUUUUCAUAGAUUUCAACCUCAUUAGGUCUUUACUAUGAGCUCGGUUUUUAACAGCCGACUUAAUAUCUUCAACUUUCUUUCCAUUAUUUUAUAUGUACUAGUUCGGGCGUGUAGCCUUUAUAUGACUGAAGUAAAAGGGAUUAUGUACCUCUUUAAAACAACGAGCAGGGUUGAUCUUCUUGUUUUCAGUUCUGUUUCUUAUCUGCUCACGCCGUUGAACUUCCUUUCAGCUCAUAAGAGGUUUGUUAUCUUCGUUUUGUUCUUUGAGCUUUCUGAGCUCGGUUCUUCUUCUUUGCUUGGUUUUCUGAGUUCAUUUUUUCAGAUCGGCACUUUUGGCCUCUUGUCGUUCUUCAUCUGAUGACUCAGUUUUUGGGUAUUCCUCGGCUGGGUACUUUGUUGCUUAGAUCUUCCUCUAGGUUAGCCGAGCUGGUUUAGCGUCAUUCAUCAAUCUUUGGGGUCUGUAUCUUACUAGCCUACAAUCCGAGUUCGGACUUAGACUUUUUAUAUUUGCUUUAGUAUAUUCUUGAGAUCGGCAUGGCGCUUUGCCUCCUUUGGUUGUCAUAUGAGAUCUGAGUCCCCUUCUCUUAGGAUCUGAGCUCCUUUGGGAGGUCAGGUCUAGCUUUGCUCUGGGAGAUCUGGGUGAUCUUAGUCUUUCGCCUCCCUGAGGUCUCUAUGUCUCAGUUCGGUGUUUGUGGUGCCAGGAGAUCUUGGGGAUCCUGGACUUCCACCUCCCUGAGGUCGUUAUGUCUCAGUUCGGUGUUUGUGCCGGGAGAUCUUGAGGAUCCCGGUCUUGUUAUGCCAGGAGAACUUGGNNNNNNNNNNNNNNNNNNNNNNNNNNNNNNNNNNNNNNNNNNNNNNNNNNNNNNNNNNNNNNNNNNNNNNNNNNNNNNNNNNNNNNNNNNNNNNNNNNNNNNNNNNNNNNNNNNNNNNNNNNNNNNNNNNNNNNNNNNNNNNNNNNNNNNNNNNNNNNNNNNNNNNNNNNNNNNNNNNNNNNNNNNNNNNNNNNNNNNNNNNNNNNNNNNNNNNNNNNNNNNNNNNNNNNNNNNNNNNNNNNNNNNNNNNNNNNNNNNNNNNNNNNNNNNNNNNNNNNNNNNNNNNNNNNNNNNNNNNNNNNNNNNNNNNNNNNNNNNNNNNNNNNNNNNNNNNNNNNNNNNNNNNNNNNNNNNNNNNNNNNNNNNNNNNNNNNNNNNNNNNNNNNNNNNNNNNNNNNNNNNNNNNNNNNNNNNNNNNNNNNNNNNNNNNNNNNNNNNNNNNNNNNNNNNNNNNNGUAAUAGAGAUAAUUAUUGCAUUGUCAUAAGGUGGUGCUAUUCCAUUCAUUCGUGUUUUCAUAGUACAAGAAUUUAUUUUUACAAAUAUUCUAAGGGAAGUACAUCUUCUGUUUCACCGGCUCAUUCAACCUUCUUUUCCUCCAACGAUCAUGUUGAUGGUCCCACUGGACCCAUCAUUUACUGGCCCCGCUCCCAUUCUCCUGAGUGUUUGCGUUGCUGGGUUCGGCUGAGGUCUUUGUCCCUCCGGUUUCUUCACAAAGUUCUUGAGGUGUCCCCUCUUUAUUAGCCUCUCGAUCUCAGCAAUCAACUGGAAGCAGUUAUUGGUGUCAUGGCCGUGUGUGUGAUGAUAUUGACAGUAUUUGUCGGGAUUUCGCUGGUCCGCUUCAGUUAUCAUGGGUCUGGGCCAUUGUAGGAGUUCCUUGUCUUGGACGGCCAUGAUCAUUUCGGCUCGGGAGGCAUUAAGUGGGGUCGGCUUCUCUGGAACCCAUGGGGGAAGUGUCUUCUAUUCUAAGGCCCGAGGAGGGGGGAGUUUUUGGUCCCUUCUCUCCCAUGGUUGUCUGUAGAGUUCAGGUUUCUUGCCGUGUUUCUUCUCGUGCCUCUCCGGCCUCCUUUCCUCCAGGGCUUUCCCCUUAUCCGUCGCUCCCCUGGCAAAUCUGCUUGUUACUAAGGCAUCAUCCUGCCUGAUGUACUUCUCUGCCCUCUUCAUCAGCUUGGCCAGUGAGGUAGGAGGCUUUCUGCUCAACGAGCCAAAGAACUCGGGUGAAGUCGUCCCUUUCUGCAUAGCCUCCACUGCUCUACCCUCAUCCAGCUCGGGAAUUUGCAAGGCCUCCGUAUUGAAACGAGCAACGUACUCCCUGAGCAAUUCAUCCCUUCUCUGCCUGACUGUUUCUAGAUAACUCGUCUUUCUGUCUGCAGGCAUCCUGGUGAUGAACCGGCUAAUGAAGUGGGUGGCCAGAUCUCCAAAGCUUCUUAUGCUUCCGGUCUGAGGCUGUUGAACCAUGCCCGUGCUGGCCCUGAGAGCGUCGUCGGGAAUACCUUGCACAUCAAGGCAUCUGACAGAGUCUGCAGCUCCAUGAAAGUCUUGUAGUUCAAGACAUGCUCCCGGGGGUUUCCAGCUCCGUCGUACGCCGCCAUAGGUGGCAUCAUAAAUUUCUUCGGGACGGUCUCCUGCUGCACCCACUUUGAGAAGGGUGAAGAGGUAGGCAGAAGAGUUUGGCUGGGGUCUUUCGCCCCUAACUCAGCCAAAAGUUGCUCUCUCAUCUUCUACAGCUUUUGGUCUACGCUCUCUUCUUCCUGCCUAGGCCUUUUCUCCGCGCGACCUUCCUCCUCCUAUGUCUCGUUCCCCUUUCUUCCGGUGGUUCCGACAGAAUAACUAUCAACUUUAUCAUUCUCUAUCAACUCCCUCACCCUCUGAACUCGAGCUUCCGGCUCUUCCUCUUCUCCGGCUCUUCUCCCCCCGUCUCCGGUUUCUUGGCUGACAGUUUGGGGAUGGUUGAAGGUAGGCUGAGGUUCGUUGGUCCGAGGCUCUUCCACCACCGGCAACACCUGUACUGGGGUGCUGAGGCCCCGUUGUUGCAUUAUCUGCCCCAACCAGUGGGCGGUGUUUUGUAACUAGAGGGCGAUGGCUUGGAGGUCCUGGUUGGACAAGGCAGCGGUGGACACAUUCCCCGCCGGGCUUGGCAAGGGGUUGAAAGGGAUGGGUGGUUGAUUGUUUGGAGUUGUAGGACUGGAAAAAGAGAAUUGCUGCCCCUUUUGGGUGGAGCUCAGGUCAUUGGGAGUGUUAAGAUUGUUGUUUUCACUGUGAUUAGCCAUCGUGGAUCUCAGUGGGUUUGUUUAGAGUGGAACUCCGGUGAUGAAAAGAUCUCCUUCGUUCCCACAGACGGCGCCAAUUGAUGAUCUGAGAUCCAGAAAAUAGGAUUUACAAAGCGUUCUGUAAGCUUGGCUGAAAAAAGGGCUCUCAAGAAGAGAAUGUUUCUUCCUUUUAUCUGUUUCCAUUGUCUGUCAGUGACGUGUAACGGCCCGACUUCUAUUGGGCCACCUGUCUCUACCAUAUUGAUAUAAUCGUACGAGGAUAUCAGAUUCCUGUCCCAUGUGUAACGGCCUCUGAUUCCCCUCGGGCACGCAUGUGGAUGGACCCACAAGGCGGAUGGAUCAGUCCCCUUCCUGAUUCUAAGCUGGACCCGAGGAUUGGAUUAAAGUUGAGCCCAGGUAGGAUCUGUUUGAUGGGCCGUGUGGACUGGGUCGGCCUAGUUGAGGAAGAUAACUGGAGUUCGGUCUUAAAGCUGAGCGGACCGGACCUGAUUCAUGUGGGAGACUCGAAGGCCUUCAAAUAAUGGGCUAUUGUCAUGGGUCCAGCCCCAAACUGGGAUGACGAAAUCCAGCGGUCAUCAUAUAUUAUUAAAAGAAUAAAAAGUGAAUAUAAAAUUAUUAAAUAAUAAUAAUUUAUAUAUAAUAAAUAUAUAUACAUAAAUAUAUUUUACGAAUAUUAAACCUGCAAUGUAGGUUGUAUAAAAUUAGUAUAUAUAAAAAUAAAAAUAAGCGACAAAUAAUAUGAUUAAUAAAAAAUAAUAUUAUUAAAACAAAAAUAUUUAAUUCUCGAAUAAAAUUUCACAAAUUAUAUUAUAAAAUAAUUUUAUUCAUACCUCUAAUCAAUUAGAAAAUUAAUUUUAACAGUAAUUUUAAAAUUAUUUUAAUAUUUUUAAUUUUUAAAAUUAAUUUUAUAAAUAAAAUAAUUUUAUUCAUGUCUCUAAUCAAGUUAAAAAUUACACUAAAAUUAAUUUUUAAUUACUAUUAAAAUAUUUAAAUGACCUAAAUUAAUAAAAACUAUUUAAAAUUAAAUAACUAUUUAAUUUAUAGACUGAAUUUUUUUUAAAAUUAUUUUCAGCCCUCAAAGGACAACUUUGAAAAAUUUUCAAAAAGUACAGGGACCAAAUCAUAAUUUGGCUAAGAGUUUCAUCUUCUUCCUUCGGAAGAUGCCCUAGCCGGCGCCCCCUUCUACACAGAAGCCCGUUGGACGCUCCAGCCGCCAACACAGGUCGCCGAGACAGUGCAACACUUGCGCUUUUAGCGGCACCUGUACAACGAUGCCGGCGUCCUUGAGAUCGGCAACAUCACGAAGGAAAUUUUGGUCUUCACAGCAAUUCCUCCCCAGCGACGUCUAGGCUGCUGGGUCCACACUGUGACCACUGUGCAUGCCGUCCAUGCAACGCCGGUCCAUAGGCUUGCGUCGGCCGCUGUGCACGUCCCUUGUCGACUAACGAACCUGGACAUGCGGUAAUCCUGAGAUUGUGUUCUCCCUUCAACACGAUUUAUUGUAAACAAUUUCCAACAAAAAUUAACUUUGAUCAAAGAACUAAAAAACAAUUUGAUUCCAAAUCAAGUAAUUUUUCGUGACAAUAAAUCUAGAAAAAUAUUUUUUAAAGAACACCAAAAUUUAUUAGCAUACACAGUUUAAUUUUAAUUAACCCAAUAAUAAACAUAAUGGACUAUUAUACUUUAAUUAACACUCUAAUACUAGUAUUAGAAUUUAAUCAUAUUAAAUGCAGCGGAAAGAAUAGGAAAAAAAUUUUUUUUCACAAAAAUGGAUCACGUUUAAACAAAUAAAACAGAGUAGGAGUGAAGAAAAUAAAUAUCUUUUAUUUUCUUUGCAGCAAAAUGUGAGAUCGUUCGUUUCAGUUGAUUAUUGCAAACCAUAAACCGUCAAAGUGCACAUUCUCUAAGGAUAUUCAUACGGAAUACUAAUAAAAAAACUUAGAAUCAUUCUAAGGAUCGAGAAAGAGAAGAGGUUUUGAAUGCGGGCCCUUUACUUUUUCCUACAAAUUAUGGAGACUCACCAAAGUCUAUCACACCCGACUUUUCAUAAGAGGUCCUUAUAUAUUAAAACCCUAGAAUUUAAGUAUAAUAUUAUUUAUUUAUUUGUUUAACUAAUUAAAUAAAUAAGUUACAAUUAUAUCUAAAACUUUAAUAAAUAAGUCAUAUAAAUCUUAGACAAUUUUAAUUUCUUCUGUAUUGUAAUAUCCAACUAAACUUCGGUGUUGAAAUUCUAACUUUUCAAAAAAAUCUACAUUGGAAUCCAAAAUUCCAAAAUUAGAAAUUUUAGAAGGGUAAAAUAGAUUUUUUAUAAAAUGAAUUUUAAGCAUUUUAUAAUGUGUUAAAAAAAUGAUUUUCAAAUCAUUAAGAUUCGGCCGCCGAACUCAAGCUGGCAGACCCAAAUUUUGAGAGUUCUUCUCUUUUCUUUCAGCAAAGGUGAACCUAAGACCUCUUGAUGAUUUUUGUUUUGAUUUUUCCAUAAAUCCUUUAUGAAUUCAUGGGUUUUACCUUUGUUUUGAAGAAUCAAGUUGAAUUUUUCGAGUUUGAGCCUUUAGGGACCCUUUGGAGUUCAUCUUAUCCUCUUUUUUGAGUCCUUGAUUGCUGUGACCAUUGUGUCUCCAAGAGAUAAGUUAUAAUCCUUACCUCUCUUCUGUUGCUUGAGUUUUUAAAGAAAUUUUAAGUUGUUUCAAUGUUUGAUAAUGCAUACAAAGUUUGGAUUUUAAGUUUUUAGUUUUGAGAUAGUGGAUGAUUUCUUGUUUUGAUGAUGCAUGUUGAAAUUUAGGUUAGUUUUAAGUGGUUCUUGGUGUGUUGAGUUGUAAAUGUAUGCUUUUGAGCUGUUGCAUGAGGGUUUUAUCUGUUAGUGUAUAUGCCCUAGGCCAUUAUCUUGGACCUUUUUGUAUGUCGUUUUGGUUAUUAAUAAAAGAGAUUUUUAUCAUUAUUAUUUGUUUGCAUGUUACAUAAUAAUGAUUAUCAUCCCUGGUUACUUAUAAUAAUGUUGAUAAUAAUAAAAUAUAACUAGUAUGAUUAUUGAUUGAUAAUCAUGAGAUGAUUAUGUAUAUGUUGAUAUAAUUCAAUAAUUAUAGAUACUUGUUAGAAAAUAAAGUAUUGGAUCGACCCGCAUUGAGAUCACUACAUGGGUUAUUGUCAUAAGUGAAUCUCAAAAUAGUUAUGUCUUAAUCCUUUGACUUGAGAUUGUCAUAGUUUCCAACAUAAGGACUGUUAUGUUUUGACAUAACCAAACAUUGUCUUUAAUCGGACAAUCAUAAAGGUUAUGAUUGAGCAUAAUAGAAAUUAUGUAGAGGAUAUUGAACAAUCAAGAUAGGAUUUGUUCCUCUCUAAUAGAGAUAUCUUCUGGGCCCCUCGAUAAGUGAGACUGAGAAAUGCAUGGCCGUGCUCAAAUGAAUUGAUAGUGUGAUCAAUAUCAUUUGAAUUUAUCAGUCUACUUAGAGAUGGAGAAAUCAUAAGUUUGAACAUUAUAAGUUUGACAUUGACCAUGAUUUAUGUUCAAACUAGAUAUCGUGUGACAAAGGGAUUAAUACAUGUUCUAUUUAUUAGGCUUUAUCGGACUAUUGAUCCUCAUAUUAAUUGGGUAGUCAUAAUGUCUUGCUAGAGGCCACUUAUGACUUAUGGGCCUUGUGGGACUGAGCCUAUUACCAAUUAAUGUGAGCCUAUUGGGUCACACACAAAAGAACGUUGUUGAUGUGCUAUGACAUAUUAAUGGGCUAAAAGCUCAAAGCCCAUUAAUAUAAUUAAUAAUAAUAAUGUGUUAUUAUUAUUAAUCAUUAAUAUAAUUAAUAAUAAUAAAGUGUUAUUAUUAUUAAUCAUUAAUUAAUAAUAAUAAAGUGCUAUUAUUAUUAAUCAUUUAUUAUUAUGAGAUAAUAAUAUUUAAAUAAUCUGCAGAUUGUGGAGCACAUAAUCUAUCUAUCUUUAAGAGAGCUAGCACUCUAGAAGGAUAGAAGACGUUCGUGUGGAUACCAUAGAGCACUACAAAAAAACAGUGAUUUAGUGACCAAAAUUUUGGUCGCUAAAAGGCAAAAUUUGGUCGCUAUUAUGAAAUAGCGACCAUUUAGCGACCAAAAUUAAAUGGUCGGUGUUUGGCCAGUAGCUAAAUUUUUGGCGACAAUCUGGAAAUUGGUCGCUAAAAUAGCGACCAAUCAGCGACCAUUUUUUGGUCGCUAAUUUGGUGUCAUGGCAAAUUAGGUAUUAGAAAUAUUAGUCGCUGUUUUGUCGUUAAAUUUUGAUCGUUAAAUGGUCGCUGUUUUGGUCGCUAAUUUGGUCGCUAUUUCGUUGUUAUUUGAUCGCCUCAAGGAAGAGCAUUUGGUUGCUGUGUGGAAGUAAAUUGGUCGUUAAAUUUCAGUCGUUAAAUGGUCGCUGUUUUGGUCGCUAGUUUAGUCGCUAUUUCGUUAUUAUUUGAUCGCCUCAGGGAAAAGCAUUUGAUCGCUGUGUGAAAGUAAAUUGGUGAAAUUAAAAGAGAGACUAAUUAAUUAUUUUUUUUAAAUAUUAAAAAUAUUUUGGUAUUUUAUUUGAAAUUGAAUAAUCAAAACAAUAAUUUUGUUUUACUAUAAAACGAUUUAAGUCCAACGGUUAGGAUAAUUACCUUCCAAGCAAUAGACCCGGGUUCGACUCCCGGCAAACGCAGAACUUUUGACUUUUUUACUUUUAAAAACAUAUCCUUAUCAUUCAUUUCAGGAAACUGCAAAAAUAUAGUGUACAUUUCUCGAAGAUCAAAACUAAUACUAACAAUAAAUUAAUAAAUACAAUAUAUGCAAGUUUUUAUAAAUCUGAAUUCUGACAUCUACCCUUAAUCUGACUUGUGCAGAUUAUGAAGGAUGUAUAAAGAAGCAGAUGACAAGAAAAUACAAACAGAAUAGCUUAGUAAAUCAAUUCCUGUAGCUAUUUUCACCAUUUUGCUCCUCUCAAACAUCUUCACCAGAAGAAUCAUAACAAUAACAUGUCCUACUUUUGUCUUCAGUUCAUCAAGUGAGCUAAUCUUCAUCCACUUUGGUCUCUCCUGCAAACCCCAAAAAAAUUCUUUCAAUUGCAUCAGAAAAAUUCCUGGAAAGUGAGCAAGUUUCUCAGGGAGUGAAAUUUACCUUCAAAGCAAACAUUCCAAAUAGGGAAGAGCCUUUUAGGGCUCGGUCGACAUGGGAAGGAACAUCAGGAGGCACAUUGCUGAUAAAAAUCCGUAUAAGCCCAUGCCGAAGAUUAGCAUCACAUUUCCAGCAAGAUAAACAUCUGCAUUCAGCAUAGAUAUAUCAGCAUAAAUGUUCAUCUUCAACAGAAACUUCAUAUUUCGGAUUUAAAAUAGGAAACAGCAUAAAUUGGACUUCUGAGAAUGAACUUCAGUGACAAAAUUCAAUACAUGAAAAUUGAUUGAGAGCACCCUACAUAUGUGUAUUCUCAAAAUUAGUUCCCCUAUAAAAUAUUUUGUGAAAUUAACAUGAAUGCUCUUAAGACUAGAAAAAUCAAACAAAGCAUUGAACUAAUUCUUAGAGAAGCUUACCAAUAGCUUCGACUAAGCGCAGAACCAUCUGUCCAGUGUGAAUUCCUUUAACACAGCUACUCCAAUAAACUUUGUAUGCAUCAAAAAUGUAAACACAACCCUGCAAUAGAUCAAAAGGGGUGACAGAAUUAAUCUCAUUCUGCACAUAAUUUUCUAUUAAUGUUGAUUUAACUGCAAUUCAUACACUUAAGCUAGAGCUAUUAGUUCACAUUUCAAAGCACAACCCUCUCAAAAGACCAAAACAACACAAGUUUUGUAUCAAAAGCAGCUACCAACUUAUGCAGAGAAAGGCAGGUGUACUCAGCCUCUCACUGUGGGAGAGAAAGCCAAUAAACUCCUUUGGACAAAAUACUAAAGCUCUACCAUCAUAAUUAAUUAAUGUAAAUUCCAAUUCUAUGCGACUGAAUGAAAGAAGUUGAUAAAUGCUGGGUAGAAGAAAGUACAUUUAAGAAGCACAAGAGUGAACCAGCUAAUGAGCCUCCAAUAGCCAGAAGUGCCAAAAAACGGAAAUCAAAGAUCACUUGCCACCAGUGAAUAUAAAAGGUGCUCCAUUGUCAGACUUGAUAUACAUAAAAGAAUCCAAUAAAAACGAUUUUAUAAGAAAAUUCAUGUGUCCAGAAUCAAUUUUAAAAUGAGAGUUCAUUUGAAUUCUAGUUUUUGGAACAGCUAACAACUAAAAUUAACGUCCUCAUUUUCUAUUUUGCCCUUAUUUACAAAUAAAUGUGAGUUAAAGUAGGUUGUUUUUAAGGGUUUUCAAUAGAACACUUCAUUAAAUGAGUCAGAAUUCUUGCAAAAUAAAGCCACUUUUGUCGUGAAUUCAUUUAUUUCAAAAUGACUUUUUAUAAAAGACCCAAAACAGUUCCCCUUAUGCCUUCUAAAACGACUAUAAAACAAAGAACCAGAUACAAAAAUCCCCAAUUCAAUGGCUCGAUGUAGAAGCUAGCAUGCCUGGAUGCAUUUCACAAUGAACAAAUAUCAUUUGUGUCUACAGAUAGUGUUUGCAUAUCAUAAACACUCUCCUUUCAGAACAUACUCUUUAUAAAAAUAAAAUUACUUACCUUUUACAGUUGCUGAUGAGGACUGAGGACUGAACUGAGGAAGACAGAGGAUUGAGGACAACCAAGUUGCUGACGGCGCGGAGAGCCGAUGGACUGGAGAGCGACGACCGACGAUUGCGUGGAGAGCGACGACCGACGCCGACGAUUGUGUGGAGGCCGCGAAGAGGCUCUUCUUGCAUGCAACACAUCAGAAAGCGAAAAAAAUGUCAACAACACAAAGAAGCAAGUACUGGGAGAGAGGAUUUGGGUUAGAAGCUAGAGAAAUUGAAAAAACCUUGGGAGAAAACUACAAAUCCACCAGUGACAGAGAGACUAGAGAGCGACAGUGAGGAGAGGAGGCAGAGGCAUGUGUGAUGUGAGGCGGCGUGGAAUGGAGAUUAGCUUCUCUACUGACUUUUAGAUUUAGGGCAAAUAAGGGUACAUUUCAAAACGAAGUAGUAUAGGUGAUUUUGGUUCGGUUCGAUUUAAUCGAAAAUUUUGAAUUUAAAACUGAACCGAACCCUAAUAGAACGGAUUUGAGUAGUUAUAAUCGGCUUUGGAAUAGGUUCGGGUUUUAAAAAUAAUACCCGUUGCGGAUUCGGAUCGAAUUCGGAUUUUAUGUACAGGUAUCCACUACCCGAACCCGUUUAUAUAAAUAAUUAAUUUAAUAUAAAAAAUAUAUUUUAUAAUAAUAUUUAUAAUUUUUUUUAUAUAUUUUUAUUUAAAAAUUUAAAUUUAAAUAUUCUUUAGAAAUAUUAGAUUUUUUAAAUGAAAAUUAUUAAUGAAAAAUAUUUUUUAUAUAAAUUAUUAAUUAAAAUAUAUAAAAUUAAACGGGUUCGUGUUUUAUUUGGAUAAUAAUAAUCGGGUUUGUAACGGAUUCGGAUAGUUUAAAUUAAUUUUUAUUCGGGUUCGGAACGGGUUCAGAUAUUACUAAUAUAAAUCGGGUUCGGAUUCGGGUAGUUUAAUUUUCGCAGAUACCCUACCCGUUUACAUCCCUAACGGAGAGAGGGAAGUGUGACUUGAGUAAAAUGAAAAAAAUAAAUGAGGGAUUACGGUUAGUUUUGUUAGUAUAGUUAAUUAGGGAUUAGGGAUUAGGGAUUAGAGAUUAGAAAUUAGGGAUUAGUAGGGGUGAGCAUUCGGUCGGUUCGGUUCAAAACCGAACCAAACUGAAUAAACCGAAAACUGAAAUUUUAGUGUUUAUGAAAAUCAAACCGAACCGAUUUUGGUCAGAAACCGAAUCGAACCGAACCGGUCUGAUUCGGUUUGAUUCAGUUCGGUUUGAUCGGUUUCGAUUUUUAAUAAUUUUUUUAUUUUUUACACUUUAUUUUUUGUAUUUUUAAAUUUAAUUAAAAUAUUUUAAUCUUAAUAUGAUUUAAUUUCUCUAUAUUAAUGAAAAAACAAAUUAUUAUCAUUAAUCGGUUCGGUUCGGUUUUUUCAGUUUUUUCUGAUCAAAACCGAACUGAAUCGAAAUAAUAAAAAAUUUUAAAAUUAAAAACCGAAUCGAACCGAAAUGUAUAAAAAACCGAACCAAAUUUUCAAAUCGGUUCGGUACGGUCGAUUUUUUCGGUUUAAACCAAUUUCUGCUCACCUCUAGGGAUUAGGGUUAAUUUUGUUAGGGAUUAUAGAUUAAAAUUAAGAAUUAGGGAUUAUGGUUAAUUUUAUUAAGGAUUAGGGAUUAGAAAUUAGAGAUCAGGUUAUAGUAUCCUUAAAUUAUCAAAACGACGUCAUUUUGUAUACCCAAUUCAAAUCACUUAAUUUAAAUUUUAAAAUUUUAAAUAAAAUAAAAUUUAAUUAAAAAUUAAAUUAAAAUUUUAAAAAUGAAAUGGUUGCUGAUUGGUCGCUAUUUAGCGACUAAUUAGUUUAGUCGCUAAAUAUGGUCGCAAAAUGGUUCGCGCCAUUAAUUCCCGCUAAAUUUAGCGACCAUUUUAAAUUUGGUCGCUAAAUAUCGACCAAAUAACGACCAAUUUUUGGUCGUUGAGCUUUUUGUUAAAUAAAAAUAUUAUUUCAUUCAUGUAGUAGCAGAAUGGUCGCUAAUUGGUCGCUAUAUAGCGACCAAAAAUUUUGGUCGCAAUUUCACAGUUUUUUUGUAGUGAGGGUGUUCGUUUGAAAAAGCAGCACCAUCAGUCUACCAUUAUAUCUUUUGGACGAGAUUAACAUGUUAGUCUCAUAUUCUUCUUGUGAAUUAAACGAAGCACUCAGAUUCUGGGAAAAGGAAAUCAGAGAAAUUUUAUUUUUUCGCUGCGUCUUUGGGUUGCAAUUAAUCUCGGGAUUUCCCAACAUUAUCAUAUUUGAGACUGUUGGCUGAGGCAGAAUCGGAUUUUGCAUUGCAAAAGAAUCCAUAUUCGGUCGUCAAACCUGCCUAUGAAGGCUUUCUAACUUGCCUCCAAAGGUUUGACCUUCGGAUUGUAAGGGGACUUUAAGCCACCGAACCAGCUGCCGAAAGUCCCUUGUCUAGUUGUUUUCAGCUCAUUUUCUGCAUAUUUUCUUAUAUGUUUAUAGGAGUUUUUUAGGGUAGUUAUAAGAGUUGUAAAAGUUAUGUUUGACCCCUCAUUUAACCCAUCUGUAUAGAUCAGACUUAAGAGACUGUAGAGGCCAACAAUGAGAUAACUGCUUCAAAGAUAGGCUUGCAUCAGCCAGAAGUGAGUAGAACUACACUAAACUAUUUUUUUAAAUAAAUCAAACAUUUUAAGUAUGCUCAUGCAUUCACGAAUGCCAUAUGUAUAUGAUUAGAUUAUUUUGCAUUAGAAUUCACGAAUAUAAUGCAUUGCACAAUUCAUUGUUAUUGUGGAUGGAUUUUGGAUGAUUCACUAGCCCUCGACCAUGCUAUUAUAUAUUAUGACGGAUAUGGUAAAGACCAGGGUUGCCCAUUCUAUGCCCCUAGCAUUAUGUUUCGGAAAUACUAAGAUUGCUCAUUCUACACCCUUGGCAUUAUGUAAGAGAAAAACUAGGGUUGUCCAUUCUACACCCUUGGCACUAUAGAUAUAUUAUAUUAUAUUUAAGAGGAAGUCCUGAGGAGCACCCGUUGUGGGUUGGGCACUAUUGAAAUUAUGGAGAGUUACUGGUGACAGUCCAUCUUGAUAUGUAUUAUUUGUGUUGUGAUCUAUUCAUAUAAUCAUAUGUUUUAUUAAACUAUUUUAUGAUUAUCUUUCUGCUCACUAGGCUCUUAUAGUUUAUCCUUAUCCCCUAACCUCAGGUUUGCAGGACCAAAGUUAGCUCGGGAGGUCAGCAGUGUUAUAUGGUAUAGUUUUGAUGUAAUAGUAUAGUUGUAGACAUGUAAUACAUAAUGUGGAUUAGAAUUAUAUUUUGCUCGAAUUUUCUUUUUAUAAUCACUUGUUUAUGAUCUUAUUAUGUAAAAGUUUUAAAGUUUAAGUUUUGUUUGGACCAAAUUGAGGUAUGUAAUGAUGACCACAUUGGAGUAUUUGAUGAGUGCUCUAGUAUGGGUUUUAUAUUUUCAAUUAUGUUGCAUGUACAUGCUGAGUUUUAGUUCAUGAGAUUGAAAUAUUUUUAUAUGUUUUUAUGAUCAUGUUUGAUAUUAUAUUAGGUGUAAUAGGAUGUAUAGCAGGCUUGUUACGGGCUCUGGCGACAUUGAGUCGAUCUAAACCCUGGCGCCAGCAGCGGUCUAGUUUUUGAGUCGUUACACCUACUUAAUUAAUUAGGUCAAAAUUGUAAUUCUUUUAAAUUACAAUUUUAUCCUAAUAUCAUAAAAUUUAUAUGCAAUCAAGUCCUACUUGAUUUGACUUCUCAUUUUAUUUUUUUAUGUUAUUCUUUAUGUGUAUGACGCAUUAGGUUCCAAAUAUGUUGGCAACAAAUAUAAUUAACUAAUUAGUUAAUUUUAAGGUCAAUAAUAUUAUCUAACAACAUGCUAAGACUACCCAAAUAUUUGGAAUGUCAAUAGUGAUUUGACUUAACCUUUCAGUCAAUAAUUUCUCAGUAUAAUUAAUAUCCCUUUAUCACAAAUGUCCCGAUUUAAUAUUUAAUACAUAGAGCGUGUCUACUAUGUUAAAUCAUAUUAGUUCUCAUUUAUUAGUUAUUGACCUAUUGAAUGAAAUUUCAAAUCUAAUUUACUAAUUUCAUUCCACCUUGCGCAAGGAUUUCAUUAUCAACGAACCAGAGAAUAAAUAGAACAUUCCUUAAGAAAACCUAGAGUGAUGAAUCCUAUCUCAAUUACGUAAACACUUUCAUACAGUUUCUACUAUAUCCAAUUCAUCUCUAUUUAUUACUCAUGAACUAAGUAAUGUGUAAGAUGAAUCAAAACAUAGAAGUCUCUAUAUAAGAUGAUUUGUUGAUUUCAAUUCAAAGAAUCUUAUACAACUAUCAUUUGAGUAAUCCAUAGACACACAUUAUUCUCCAUAUGAAUUUUUCAGGCAGGUCAGUUAAGUGUACUCAUUUAUAAAAUAAGUAAUGCACUUAUUUAUAAAAUAAGUACCUACAUAUUAGUUUUAGAUAUUUCAUAUAUAUCAACCUAUGAGAUUAGUUGCUCCUCUAAAAAGAAAGAACAUAAUAUGUAUCAAUCUCAACAGUUCUAAUCGUUGUCCAAUAACGAUAAGAACAAUUAAUAAGAACAUUUAGAGACAUUUCUGAAAUGCAAUAGAAAUCUCACGAUUAUAAGCACUUUAUAAUUUUUUUUACAUAAUAAUGUAGUUUCAUGAACUAACCUUUAUAUUAAAUAUAAAUAGAUGCCUUUAUUAAAAUGUAUUAAACACUUAAAAAUACAGAAAUAUAAUAUCUAACUACAACCAACCGAUGGGCUGUAGGACAUAUUACUAAUAGGAAUUGUUCUCUUACCUUGCAUGACUUUAGAAUAGACCUGAAUAGAGUUUAAAUUGCACUGCACUUUAAUGUGAUGUUUUGGUUGUUCGAAUUGUAGAGGAGAAGCUUCCCAAAGCUCCAAGCCAAAGGGAAAGGAGAAAGAAGUCAACUAGGAGCAACUAGCUUACUUUAGUUUGUGCUCACUUAACCUUUAAUUUGUGUAUGUCAAUUAAUUGUAUUUAUUGAGUAAAAAUGUGUAAGUUUACUAUAUUUAGAUGUUUUUGAGUGAUUCAUAUGCAUGGGAAUGAGAAUUGAUUUGAGUUCAUUAAGAUUGUGUUGUGAUGCUAAAAUUAGUAAAUUUGUUUGAAUAGUCCUUAUUAUUGAUAUUGUAACUUGUGAUGAAAAUAUUUAAUUGCUAUGUAAUUUAUACUAAAAUAAUCUUGAGACAUAUAACUAUAACUUUCAUGAAGACUAUAAGGUCCAAUCCUGUGAUUAAAGGCUUGAAAUAUAGGAAUAAAGUUGGCUUAAAGGAAAAGAUAAUGUUGGAUUUGUAGUGUUAUUUUUUAUCGUCUUAGUUUAAUUGGCAAUAAGUUGAGUUAUAAUUAUCCAAAUUAGGUAAUUAUUGAUGCUUUAGAAAGCUAAUAUAUUAUAAAAAAUACCCAUGCAUAUAGUUAGGUUAAAAUAAUAAAUCAAAUAAAACUUAUUUAAGAUUAAAAUUACUAUUGUUGCGAAAUUGAUGCCCUAUGUACAAUUUUGGUAAAUAAUGCAUAUAUGGAGUUAGAUAGGUCUAAAUGGUCUAAAACAUGUCUCAAAUGAAUCAUAUGGCACUGUCUUAUAACUUUUUAGAAGAGAUAUUAGCCUAAUUCUUAUUGGAAUUUGUUCUUCAAAUCAGAAUGAAUAAUACAUGUGAAUAGUACAUGUGAAUAAUACUAAACCUGAAACUUAAUUUUAAAUGGUUAUAGGCAGUUAGGAGAUAAAUGAGCAUAACUUGAUCUAGGAUUGUCCAUUUAACUUGAAAUUUAUAUCAAAUUAAAACUAAUAUAGAGCUAAAAAUUUAUAGAAGAUAAUUUUGCCAAAUUAUGUUGUUAACCUUAUAUUUAAAGCUACACAAGUCAAUACAAGCAUAGGUGACCAAACCAAGGUUGUUAGUUGCACCAUUUGCAACCUAGAGAGAAUGCACUAUAACUUGAGUUAUAGUUAUCCAAAUGAGUUGAUCUUUAUUUUUUUAGAAAGUUAGGUCAUAGAGAAACAAAUUUUAUGAGUUAAAUAUGCUUUAAACCAUGCUAAAAUUUGGCUACAAAAUUGAACAGAAAUCUGCCCUCUAGGUGAAAAAUAUAAAUUGAUUUAUUUAAUAUGUUUACUUACUAAGUAAAUGUACAUAUAAGUUAUGUAUACAUAUUAUGGCAACUAAUAAAUUGUUAUGCAUGUAUUCGUAUGAAGUUGCUAGUAGUUGUACACUCGAAAUAGAUGUCAAGAGGAUUUUAUUAUUUAAACUUGAAUGCACAAUUAUGUGUAAAAAAAAUGCAAAUACUUAAUAUAAAUACUAUUGGCCCUAGUGAGUUUCAUAAAAAUUGAUAGUUAGCAUAAGGAUGUGGUAUGUCAUACACAUUAGUAGUACUACGCUACAAUUUAUAUGAUUCGAGGGUUACGUUGAGGUGCUUUUUGGUAUGGCAAUGGUGCCUACCACUAUAGUUAUCAGCCUCUAGGCCUAUAGUUUGUACUUGGUGCAUACAAAUAUAAUCAUUCCUUGUUUAGCUAUUUGAGUUUGUUAAACUUAUAAGGGUUGGCAUUUAAAUCAAAACUACGUUAAGACAACAUUUUUAACAAUAAAUAUACUUUAUGAUUGAGAAUCACAGUACGCUUAAUGUCUUCUGAUAAUUGCAUUGUUUCCUUUAUGCUCUCGCACUUUAUUUACAUUUAUAAUGCAUGAUAUAUAUAUAUACUCGUUAUUACCAUGUUGCUUCUUUUAUAAUAACCUAUAAUUUGUAUGAUAGUGAGUAUCAGUAAGCAAGUAGCUUAGUGCGUAGAAAUUUCUUUUUCCUUGCACAGAUCGUAGAUAGUUGAACAGUUGAAGAGGGAUGGAUCUAUAGUCAGACAAUCAAAGUCACUUUGGAGUACUAGUAGUUCUACAUAUAUAUUGUUAAUGCAGCUUGCAAAUGGAAUAUAUAUAUAUUAUCAUCCUUUUCUUCAUGAAGGUAACUCAUAUUUGAGUAUCCUACAUUGUUUUAAAUUAUUAAAAGUAUUUUCAAUUUUUAAUUAAUUCACAGUUUUUGAGGUAUAUAGUAAAAUAGGGAAGAUUCCAUCAGUUUCUCCCUUUUAUGCAAAUAAAAUGUUACUUUUUAAUUUAGUAGUCUAAUAUUAAAUAAAAUAAAGUUAUUUUCAAACGAUUAUGAAAUAAUUUAGUGUGUGGUAUUUCCGACUCGAUUAAAAUAUUAAUCGAAUAGGGGAUGUUACAAAACCUCUUUACCCUUACCCUCUUUUUCGCUUCCAUAAUCUAAACUUUCCUCACCUCAUUCAAACAUGAUAUUAGGAGUGCGGGUGAAAAAAAAUUAAAUUUUCUCAUAAUAGAAUCCACUCAAAAAGGAUAUUUUUUUAGUUUUAUCAUUAUAUGUUUUAGUAUUUUUUUUAAGUGUAUUCAAAAUAAAUUAUUCUUUAUCUAGAGCCUAGGAGUCUAUUUAUAAAUUCAUUAUUUAGGAUUUUUGUUUUGUUAUUUUUAUAAUUUCAACGUUUAUAUAAUUCAUUAUAAGAGAAUUUUUCUAUUGUAAAUGAAGAUAUUUUUUUAUAUUAUUUUAAAAAAUAAUUGAUAAACUAAAUAGAUAUGUAAAAAAUAUAUAUUGUUUCUUUUCCUUUAUUUUCACAUGUAUAAAAAAAUUUGGUGACAUCACUCCACCUAUUUCAUAAAGCAUUGGACUGGUUUAACAACAGCUAUCUAAUACUUAGGAAAUCAUUGUAGGCCUUAAAAUAACUAUUUUAUCCGGAAAUACACAUAUCCAUAUUUUUCCAUUCUAUUUAUCUAGAUAUAAUCUAAGUGAGUUCAAGUAUCAAAUGAGCAUAUUUGCCAAAAACAAAUAUGAUUACUUCCAAAAGUUAUUUCAUUCAUUCUCUCUCUAUGUUAUUUACGGAACUAUAUUCAACGGAACUAUAUUCUUUUUGGAUUAUAAUGGAUGAUUAUUUUUCAAUUUCAUCUCUACUAUAAAAUGAAUAUAAAGAGUUUCUUCUUAUCUAUUUUUUCGUUAAUGAAAUGAUUAAAUAAAUACAUAAAAUAAUAAAUUAAAUUGUGAAAUUCUUUGCGAGUUCACUUCAUGUAUUUACUUAAUCUACUAACUAAAAUUUUAUUUUACAAAAUAUACAAGAUAUUAGCUACUGUUUCAAAUUUAUUAAUUUAAUAUGCAAACUCUAAAUAGUGAACAGGGAAGGAGAAAUAAUAUUUUCCGCUAUAUGAAUGAAAAAUGACAAAUCCAAUAAAAGAAUGAAAGAAUAAUACAUGUUUUAAGUACAACUGAUGAAAUCCCAGCGUCGUAGGCCUAAGAUAAAUUGCAUUCAGGAGGGAAGCCUUGCGGAAAUCUGUUGGCAUCAGUGCAAUAGUUGUAUAUCAUGUAGUUGUUCCUCACCCAUUGCAGCCUUUCUUGACUCGUUGAAUCAAGCUCUUCUGACAGCCAUGAAUUUGUCAUGGAGUUUGAAGUCCCACAGGAAGAUACCCAAUUAGACCAAGCACACGCAUUUGCACUGAAGUUUCUAUAGGAGGCAGUGAAUGGAGCCUGACUCCAAUCUGUCUUCACUAGACCACCUCUUGUAGCCCAAUCAUCAGCAUUCCAUAGACUAGAGUAAAUUCUCAUUGGCUGAUUCUUUGGAUAUGGAACUCCCAUUGAUUCCAAGUUCUUGAACUCUCUAAUUGGGGUGCCAUCUACAGAGAAGAUGAUCCUCUGGGGAUUCCAUAGAAUGGUAUAUGUGUGAAAAUCUGCAGUUGGGUCAAACCACAGAUAGAAUUGCUGCUCUCUGUUGCCUUUGCCUUGGCUAAAUACAUUAGUGUGGAGGAUGUAAGGAUCGCCGCUCAAAUUCCCCAAGAACUCAAAAUCAAUCUCAUCCCAAGUGGACCCAGUUGAUUUUAACUGCAGAUUCAAUUUCAAAAUCCACAAUGUUAGUACUAGAGUCGCAUAAUUGAAAUUGAAAUUAUUAGCAGAAACAGAAGCAAAAAGAAGUGAAGAUCUCAACAUACAUAAUAGGCGGUGACAGUGCCAGCAGAGUUGCCAGGGACAAGCUUGAGCUGCAUAUCAAUCUUUGCAAACAGAUAUUCAUUCCUGGACUGAAAUCCAGAGCCAGAAGCUUGAUCAAGGGAGAGAGUGAGAAGUUGUCCAUUGUUG
rnacentral:lncRNA from 1 species